GCAAGCUUUCAGGCAUACUAGUUCUCUUUCAGAUAUGAAGCAGAAACAGAAAACUGAAAAUUAAGAGCAUAAGUCACUGCAUGCUUGAACACUCAUGCUUCAGGGCAAUCUGUCUGCUGACUUCAGUGUUAAGCUGGGAGAUCAUGUAACUGUAGCAGGUCUGUAUUUACUUCCAGUCCCCAUGAAUUCACUGGAAGAAUGGAUGCCAUUAGAGCUACCCAGCUUAUGUGUCCCGAGGAUCUCUUGCAGUUUCCUCACCAAAAUCUCUUUGGAUUCCUUUUGAUACGAAAUAGUUUAUUGCUGUGAUACGACAAAAUCCUGUUUACUUAACGUGCAGGUCACACCAGUUAUGGAAUAACACUUCUGAGUUUGAAGAUUAGUGAAGUGAAGAUUAGUGAUUUGUCUCCCUGGUCUGCAUGUUGUCUUUUUCAAUGCUACUCUUUGUACGUUGGAACCGUUGAACCAUUGUUGGAGCAUUUUAUAUACCAAUCUUCUUCUAUAGUAUUGCAAUUACAGAAAGCGUUACGCUUUUUGAUGUAAGUUAAAUAAAAGCUUAAAACUAUAAAAGUCCUUUCUUCCA
rnacentral:lncRNA from 1 species